GUUGAACGCUGGCGGCAUGCCUUACACAUGCAAGUCGAACGGUCACACGUCUUCCGUUGCUGACUAGUGUCGAACGGGUGCGUAAUACAUCGGCACGUGCCCGCUCGUUGUGGGUAACGGAUCACUAGCUUUGCUAGUACCUCAUACGAUCUACUGUUGUAAACAGCGUACCUCAAAGGCUUGCGCGGGCGUUGCUGCCGAUGGUAGAUUAGGUAGUUGGUCGGGUAAAAGCUUACCAAGCAGACGAUCUCUAGCGGGUCUGAGAGGACGAGCAGCCACACUGGGACUGAGACACGGUCCAGACUCCUACGGGAGGCAGCAGUGGGGAAUCUUGCACAAUGGGCGAAAGCCUGACCGAGCCACGCCGCGUGCAGGAUGAAGGUCUUCGGGUCGUAAAACGCUGUUGUAAGGAAAGAAAAGAUGCGUAAGAAAAAAGAGAGAUCAUGACGGUACCGUAACAAUAAGCCCCGGCUAACUACGUG
rnacentral:rRNA from 1 species